rnacentral:rRNA from 1 species
AUGCACGCUGGCGGCGUGCCUAAUACCUGCAAGUCGAGCGAACAGAUGAGGAGCUUGCUCCUCUGACGUUAGCGGCGGACGGGUGAGUAACACGUGGAUAACCUACCUAUAAGACUGGGAUAACUUCGGGAAACCGGAGCUAAUACCGGAUAAUAUAUUGAACCGCAUGGUUCAAUAGUGAAAGACGGUUUUGCUGCCACUUAUAGAUGGAUCCGCGCCGCAUUAGCUAGUUGGUAAGGUAACGGCUUACCAAGGCAACGAUGCGUAGCCGACCUGAGAGGGUGCUCGGCCACACUGGAACUGAGACACGGUCCAGACUCCUACGGGAGGCAGCAGUAGGGAAUCUUCCGCAAUGGGCGAAAGCCUGACGGAGCAACGCCGCGUGAGUGAUGAAGGUCUUCGGAUCGUAAAACUCUGUUAUUAGGGAAGAACAAAUGUGUAAGUAACUAUGCACGUCUGGACGGUACCUAAUCAGAAAGCCACGGCUAACUACGU